rnacentral:tRNA from 1 species
GCCGCGGUGGCGGAACUGGCAGACGCUGGGGACUUAAAAUCCCCUGGCCCUUGGGCCGUGAGGGUUCGAAUCCCUCCCGUGGUACCA